GUCCCGCCCUGGGCGGCCCCAACACAAGCUCGGCCCCUGCCUUCCCAGAGAGGAGGUGGGGCCGGGGAGCCAUAAACCCAGGCCCAUUCCUGCUCCCGCGUUUAACGACCCCUGUCAAGGACUCCUGCCCAGAUUCAAUUACCACCACAGGUUUAUAAGACCAGCAUCUGGGCACGCGCUCUGACAUAACAAUGGACCCCAUGCCAGCUGGCUGGGAGGCUCCCCCGCCCUCCCUCCACCCUCUUCUCUCCUCUGAAUCGGGGAGGCUGGGAGGCCAAGGUUACCACCAGCACCUUUUCUUAGGAACUGGGAAGCCCGAGUGCAAGAUGAUCGCCAGGCGUUAGAACCGACACAAAGACACUUUGGGAUCUCCUGGAACCCCGCUCGGGGCACACUGGAUUCACGGUGACCUCGCCGUGGGCACGGGCUGGCGGCCGGCCUCAGCUGCCCAGCGGCACAGCGGGCUCACUCCAGACGAGAACCUCGCACCAGGACCCGCCUCCCUCAACAACCAGAGCGGUGGCCGUGCCCUGUGGGAGGCGGCAAGUGUGUCCGAAGCCCUCAGCGGGCAUUUGGAGGCAGGGUCAUGACUGUCCUUCAAGGCACGAGGCGCAAAACAGAGCUGGGGUCCUGGGUGACGGACCUGUCGGGGGGCUCCGUCCAGGGGCAGCUCAGGCGGAAAGAAGGGGCCUCCCGUCACCUCUACACAAGCCACCGCAGCGUCCGGAAUCCUCGUCCAGGUGCCCGGGCUCCGCCGAGCUCUGACUCCCCGUGGAGACGUGACCGGCGCGCCUGUCCCCCAGGCCCACCUCGGAGCCGCCCUCCGUCCUGCUCCCCGUGCAGCGCUGACCCCCGCUGCCUCCCUCCCCUGUGGACCCAACCCCUCCCCUGAGCCCCUCCCUCUACCCUGCCCGGCGGUCCUGCGUGGUGGCAGCCAACGGCCAGUGCAGAUUCGGGACACGGAUUCGGCACACACACACACACACACACGCAGACGCACACACGUUCACAUGCCUCCCCCUGGUCCCUGCCCCCCGCCCCGGGCCCCAUCUCCACCCGAGUGGGUCGCAGUGAUCCCCGCCCAAACCUUCCAGGGGGCUCUCGCUGCUCUGAGAAUAACAUCCAAGGUCCCCGGGUGGCCCACAAGGCCCGUGCCAGCCCCCACCCCGGCCGCCCCUGCCCCUGGGCCCCAGCCCCCAGCUCCCCCACCACGGGCCCCUUGCAGGGCACAAACACAGCCACCCGGCUCCCCUGGGCACUCCACCCCCACCCUCGGAAUGGCUCCCUCUCAGCCCCGCAGAGGCCUUGGAAGACCCCCUGCCCGCCCCAGACCCGCCCGUGCCCUCCCCGGACCACUUUCUGCCCUGACCCGUCUCCUUGUUGCAGACGGCUUCCCACACUCCCGGGGGAGCAGGAGUCUCCCCGCCCUGUUCUUUGAGGGAGACUGGCACCUGGACGGAUGCCCGUCACUCCACAGGUGCUGCGUAAAUAUUUGUGGGAUGCCAGAGCGGGUGUCUGCUGUGUGCCAGGCACGUGCUAACCUCGCUAAAGACAUAGAAUCUCAAGAAAUUGAUCCCCCAACAGCCUGUGUGUGAGGUAGCUGCUGCUCCCAUCCCCGUUGUCCAGGUAGAGAACUGAGGCUCAGAGGGGUCAGGGAGCUUGUCCGAAGUCACACAGCACGGACUCCAGGCCAGGCGUCUGCCUCCAGACCGCGACUCCCGCACGGCCCCGCCAUCUAUGCCGACGCGAACCCUCGGAGCAGACUUCUCCCCCUUCACAGAUGAGGGAGCCAGGGCCUCGGGGUCCCUCUGCGCUGGCCCAGGGGCACACACCUCGGGUCAAGGGGCGCUCAGAGGCCGCCUCAACCCGGCCUGCAGUGUCUCAGCCCCAGAGCCCCCAACCCCCAUUUCUUGGGCCGGAGGGAGGGGCUGUUAGGGUUUGAAUCUUUUCCUGAAGGCAGACGGCCAUCUACGCCCUCCUGCAGCGUGACUUUCAAGAAAUAUCACCUAAUUAAUGGAUUUCUGGCUCUCGGAGCUGCCAGAUCCCCCUCCCGAGACGUCUGGCCACAGCCUGGGUGCUCCCAUAUGCCGGCGGCCCUGCCAGCGGGGGGGGGGGGGGGUCUGGCACCCACUCCCUGCUCGGCACCCUGGCUGCCAGCUUCUGGUUCCUGCUCGGCCACAGACCCCGAGAGCUGGGCUGCAGCCAGGCGGGCUCCUUCCCGCCGCCCCGGGGCCUGCCUGCUGGGCCCCCCACCACACCCCCCAGGCCUGUGUAGACACGGUCCCUCCCCAGGCUGCACCCCCGGGUCUGCGAGUCAGGAAACAUCCACCACUGUUCCCCUUUCCCCCCCAGCACCCCCUCCGCACCUCGCCAAACAUCCUCAUUCUCUUAAUUAUUGACGAACAGAUUUUUCCCCCAAAUAAUUAGGCAAUUUAAAUCAUA